GCCAAAGACUCAGUGGUGCACAGCUUUAAAAAAAUAAUAAAUUAAACAGCAAAUAAAUCAUAAUUGUCCAAAUUAAAUCAAUUGAGAUGUUAAUACAUAUAAAAUCAUACUUUAUUUUUAAAGUCAGAAAAUUUCUUAAAAUAAAUCAAAUCACAAAACACUUUCUUUUGAAAUGUUACACAGCUUAAUCAUGACUCAAAUAUCUAAUUCAUUCCAAUAGCCAAAGGCUAAUAAGGAAUACAAAGCCUAGCUAGCACAAUAUAUAUAAGUACCCAUACAAUUCGUCCUCAACUGACACACACCUCAACACUUCAAUCAGAGAGGGAAUUCAAUGCCAAUUCGUCCCACUAGACAAGCU
rnacentral:misc_RNA from 1 species